GAUGAACGCUGGCGGCGUCCCUAAUACAUGCAAGUCGAGCGAACAGAUGAGGAGCUUGCUCCUCUGACGUUAGCGGCGGACGGGUGAGUAACACGUGGAUAACCUACCUAUAAGACUGGGAUAACUUCGGGAAACCGGAGCUAAUACCGGAUAAUAUAUUGAACCGCAUGGUUCAAUAGUGAAAGACGGUUUUGCUGUCACUUAUAGAUGGAUCCGCGCCGCAUUAGCUAGUUGGUAAGGUAACGGCUUACCAAGGCAACGAUGCGUAGCCGACCUGAGAGGGUGAUCGGCCACACUGGAACUGAGACACGGUCCAGACUCCUACGGGAGGCAGCAGUAGGGAAUCUUCCGCAAUGGGCGAAAGCCUGACGGAGCAACGCCGCGUGAGUGAUGAAGGUCUUCGGAUCGUAAAACUCUGUUAUUAGGGAAGAACAAAUGUGUAAGUAACUAUGCACGUCUUGACGGUACCUAAUCAGAAAGCCACGGCUAACUACGUG
rnacentral:rRNA from 1 species